CUUGGGGGAAGCCUUGGCGCAUGUCGUGGAAGGAAGCUCGGAGCUGGGAGUCAUCGCAGGUCACAUGUUUACUGAAUCUCCACUGGUGCUGUUCCGGGUGCUGAAGAUAAAUGAAGAAAACAACAAAGAUCACUGCUCCGGAGGAGCUACAUUCUAGUACAGACGGACAACAGCAGGAAAAAACCCACAAAGAGUAAAACAGAAACGUAAAAUACAUCGCAUGCCAGUUGAGGACAAGUGCUGCGGAGAGUGAGCUCGACUUAGGGAUGUGCUUCUAUGAACAGGGCACGGGAGGGGAAGAACUGUAGCGCCAGGUGGAGAGACCUGAUGCCCACUACCUUGGCCGUGUGGUCAAGGUCAGCUUCACAGUGAUGUGUCGUGUUGACACCCGUCUGCUGUGGGGUGAUGAUAAGGAAGCAUCGCCUGUGUGCGACCUGCCCCCAAACACGUCACUCUAAUCAUGAGAAAGCGCCAUACAGACCCUGACUGAGGGCCAUUUGACAAAAUACCUGACCCGCAGUGCUCUUCCAAAGUGUCAAGGUCACGAAAAGCACACAAAGCCUAGUGCUACGGAUUGAAGAGCUGCACCCCAGAGUGGACCACCUGUCACCUUUCCCCAAGGAAUGAAGUGGGAGCGAGGUGACACCAAGAUGGCAACAGCUACAGACACAGAAGUGCUUUGGCCACUUGGGAGAAUCCAGUAAGAGAGACCACUUGCCAUUCCUGAUGGUGAUUUUCCAUGAAGACAUGCAGAGUUCAGAUAAACAAACGCCCCUACACGCGCCCACACUGCUACUCACACACGUGUGCACACACGCACGCGCACACACAGCCUUCUGGAGACGCGUGGCUUCUAGCAGCUAAUACGGCUGCAGCCUCCGGAGCUCAUCACUCACUGUGUACCGGCGGGGUUGGGGGUGGUCCUCAGAGUCUUCCUCUCUCUGAUCCCCUGCUUCUCCGUCAGUCUCUCCCGAAGAGGCUGCUGUGAACCCGUUUGUGGAUCUGACCAGCAGGUAUAUGUGUC